CAUCCAGACUGUCACUAUUUUUAGAUGGCAUUCAGUAAUGACAAGUCCGUGGAAUUCUUGGUCCCGGUCACAGCGACAAAGUCCCAGCCGGCACAAGCUGGCAAGUAAGCGUCUCAUCAGCAGCGCACCCCGCGAGCAGGACGACCCACAGCAGCUACGGUGACACCAGGCAAUAGGUACGAUGAUAACAAUACAGGGCCGCAACGCCCCGGUGUUCUAGAUGGAAGCACAACCGCAGCAGCAACGAAAAGGCACCGGCCACGAUGAGGAACGCCAGCCGUAGCAACCCCGCCACAGAGAAGCUUUUUCCUUGGUCACCUGCUGAAUAUUUGGAGAAUGCUUAAAAAUCAAGAGGUGUAUUAUGAUCUCUUUCUGCAAUGGGCUGAGGAAUAUGGACCAAUCCUGCGUUUAAAUGACUUUCACAAAGUUGCAUUGUUAAUAUUAAACCCGGAAGGUGUAAAGGUAUGCUGUGUAACAUUAUGUCUCCAAGACUGCAGGAAGAUACAGUACGUCUAUCAAGUUAAGUCAUGGUUUGGAUUAGCAAUGUGGCUGAACUGGGGCUCAUGGUUUGUCUCACUCCAGAUAAACUACAAGUUGUAGUCAAGGCUUUUUCUUGGCUUACUUCUUGUGGUUUGUCCAGGAGAAACAAACCAUGAGCCCAGGUUUGGAUGUAAUGCUAAGCCAAACAAUGGCUUCUGGAUAGUGCAACAGGAGGAUGACCAAAGGAGGACCACAGUGGCUGCCAGCCUAUGGCAGCCAACUAGUGCUGGCACUCAUUGCACUUUUAUCAAGAUAUGAGUACCGACACCUCAUUUUUCACAAAACAAGUACUGAUAAAUAUUAUCAUUUAUUGGAUUUUUUAAUUGAUUGUUAUCCAAAGGUCUCUGGGGGACUUACAACAUUGUUGAAAACAAAGAAAAUAUACCAUAAAAACAAAAUAAUAAAACAACAACCCCCAUACAGCCACAGAGGUUUUUGCCAUACAGUAACACAAACAACAUAAUCUCAGCCUAUCAAAUGCCUAGGAAAAAAAGAUAAGUUUUUACCUGGUGACGGAAAGGUAAGCACAUUCCACAGAUGGGGAGCCACAACUGAAAAGGCCCUCUCCCUUGUCACUGUCCUCCGAGUCUCCCUUAGGGGGACCUGGAGAAGGACCUCAGAAGGAACAGUGGCAGCAGCAGUAGUGGAUAGUGGGGGAGAAGAAUGAUUCCCCCCCUUCUUUUCAUCAUCCUGCUGUACUUUGCAAUACAGCAGUACUGAAAGAAUGCUGCUGCUUGCGAUAGGAAGUCUUCAUAAGGACUGAUUCAAUAGCUGUAGUACCUGGGAAGACUCCAAGUCCCAUACAGCACUCCCCUUUCAGUCCUGACUCCUAUGAGCUUUGUAUUUCUGAUCCCUGCCCCCCAACACAUCUCCUCAUUUCCCAAGCCCCUCACAUUGGUUCAGGAUAUGAACCGAUUCAUUUUUGACCUGAGGGGUGGGAAACAAAUCAGGGGGCUUCCAGAAUAUCACUGUUUUCAGGGAUUUAAUCACAUCCCAGCAAAUUCAGGCUGCACAGCUUGGAGUUCUUGCUAAACAAACCUGUUUCCCCCAAAGAUCAAACUUUUUGCAAUAAGGAAGGUGAUGGAAAAAUGCACUGGAAAGUGUGAGAUUACACUUGCUUCCCACAACUUUGUCUAAGCUCCCCAGAAACAAAUCAGGAUGAAUGCUCAUUAAACAGGUUGCCUGGAAAUGACCUCAGUUCCUUUUGGUGUUAGGUUCUGGGCACACUAGUGGCUUCAAAAACAGCUAGAAUGGUUUUUCUGGCUGCGUUUUGAAGCAACUCUGCCCUCUGCUGGCCCCACCUUCCUUCUCCACUGCUGCCUUCAGACCUUUCAGGACCGCCUGCAGCAAAGCAUUUCCAUUGGCCAUCUGGAAGACAAAGGGGUUGAGCUACCAACCAGUUGUGAAACCCUCCCUGAAGCUCCCUAAAGACAAUAGAGAUAUAACAGGAGAGAGUUCCAAAGGGUACUCUGUAAUAAAGUAUACUAUAUUUUUGCGUCUCAAGUUGUUGGGAAUGCCAUCGUAAUUUGUACUUCUUUUUUCAUUUUUCUGAAGCUGUUGAGUCCCUAAUCAACUCUUUCUGUUUGUUUGUUUCUAUGUAUGAGUCUUGAACCUCCACCCACUACACAUAAUUCCUAUCUGAAGCAUUUUCUAAAAUUAAGUGAUCCUAAUUCCCUAUAAUACCAAACACGGGUGGAUCCACGCCUAUAGGCUAGAAGCGAAAGAAGGCCAACCAACACUAAGUGCAGGAAGGGGAUUGUGAUCAUGAAAAUAUGGUGGACAAUUUUGUCAACUUCUUCUUUGCAGGUUUGUUACUGUUUUACUCUUUAAAAUUAAAUAUGCAAUCGACCCAGUUGUGAUCCAAGAACAGCUGCAGAUAGAAACAGGCCUUCUACAGGUUCAACCAAUGCAUAUGCAGAUUGCAUUGAACGCUUCUUUUUCAUCCACAGUGAGAUAGUUAUGGUCACUCUUCUUGUAUGCUGCUUUUCCAUACGCAUCAUGCAUAAAGAAGUUAAUAAAAUAAUUACCUGGGCUCCACUGAACUGGCAGGAUUCUUAUUUUGAACAGCUAAUGUUCAAAAGGUAGGCUUCAAAAGGUAGGUAGAUUUAGGCUUCAAUCCCAUGCACACUUACCUGGAAAUAAAGCUCCACUGAAUAUAGUAUGGCAAUUUCUAAGUAAAUAUUAAUGAUUGCUAUUUUAGUUUAAACUUUAAUCUAGGUGUCAUAAAUGGUUAGAGGUUAUAAUACCUGGUUAUAAAAUUUUCUUUCCUAAAUAUUUUCAGUCACAGAUCACAGAGUAGGGUUGCCAGGUUCAGGGCCAGAGACUGAUCCUGUAUCUUUAGGAGAAGAGAAAGUCAGCCAAGUACAGGUGUUCUUGCAACGUUGUAAUGGGAAAAACCACAAGGUGGGAUUCUCUCUUCCCCCUGCACAACUUUUAAAGAUACAGAAGACCUCUUGGAGGCCGGGCCUGGAGAGGGGGCAGUUUCCCAUGUCCUUAUCAGCUGCCUUCUCUAUGUGCCACCUGCUAGAGAUAGCAAGUGAGACCAGCUAACCCUUUUGUCAACUAGUUGGCUUUACCAGUCAACAUAACUAGAUGUGUUCCCCUGGUGUUUCUGGUGGCAAUGUCUCUCUCAGACCUCCAAUAAACGGAACACCUUAAGUGGUGUUACAGCAACUGUCUAAGAUGUUUACAAACAUAAUGGAAUGUUGGCUGCUUUCCCAGACACCUUAUUUCUCUUCAUUUUGCUACAAAACUCUCAUAGAGACUCACUGCUUUACAUGGGUUUGGGGGAAGGAAUCCUUCUUUGAACUUUUUGCAACUUAUGCAUACUAUGAUAUCAGCAAGCUGUAAACUAAGCAGACUUUGUUAGCAACUACAGCAAUUACAAGCAUAUGUCAAGCCUAUAUGGAGCUGGGCCUAUCACAAUAAUCUAUCCUUGACUUCAUUCUGACCAAUGGAGAUGAUUUAGUGGAUGAAGUGGCAGUUAGGGGAACUCUGGGGGAAAGUGACCAUGUUAUACUUGAGUUCUUGAUCUUAAAAGGAAGCAGAAGCUGAAUGCAGCCAUACGCAUACCCUGGACUUCAGAAAAGCCAAUUUUAGCAAAUUUAGAACAAUGACAAGUAAGGUCCCAUGGCAAGCAAUGCUACUAAGAAAAGAAGCCCAUUAUGUGUGGGGAGUUUCUGAAACAGGAAAUUCUAAAGGCACAAUUGCAAACAAUUCCAACAAGGAAAAAAGGCGGAAGACAGCAGAAAUAGCCAGUGUGGCUUCACAAAAAGCUCAGAGAUGACCUGAAAACAAAAAAGGACACAUACAGGAAGUGGAAGGAAGGGCAGGCCACAAAGGAAGAGUACAAGCAGGUAGCACAGAAUUGCAGGGAUGGCAUCAGAAAGGCUAAAGCUGAGAAUGAGCUGAGGUUAGCGAAGGAUACUAAAAGCAACAAAAACACCUUUCUUCAGUAAAGUAAAAGACGGAGAAAGGAAACGGUAGUUCAGCUACUCGAUGAAGAUGGCAAAAUGGUAUCAGAUGAUAAAGAAAAUGCAAAAGUGCUCAAUUCCUACUUUGGCUUAGUUUUCUCCCAAAAGAGGGUCUAUGACUCUCCUGGCAAACAUGAAGUGCAAGUUGAAGGGGCAGGAUUGCAGCUUGAGAUUGAGAGACAAAUGGUCAAGGCAUAUCUAAUUACUGUGAACGAGUUAAAAUCUCCAGGGCCUGAUGAACUGCAUCCUACAGUAAUGAAGGGACUGGCUGAAGAACUCUCGGAACCACUGUCUAUUAUCUUUGCGAAAUCGUGGAGGAUGGGUGAAGUACAGGAUGACUGGAAGAGGGCUAAUGUUCCUAUCUUAAAAGGGCAAAAAGAAGGAAACUGGGAACAACAGACCAGUGUUACGAGGUGCAAGGCCCUGGAGCCUGCUGAACUAUAAGUCCUACCCCACACACCCCUUGUAUUUCUGGUUAUGCUUUCCUGAGGUACUGUGUAACAAGGUCAUUCUGUGAGCAACAAAAAUAACCAAAAGAAACUGGAAUAAAUGUUGUCUUCUUCCUUGACACAUGUGGGCACAAACGACAUGGCCAGAAACACCUUGCAACAGAUCACCUCAGACUAUGAGGCUCUGGGUAGGAAGGUCAAGGAUUUUGGGGCUCAGGUGGUCUUCUCGUCAAUUCUUCCCGUGAAGGAUAGAGGACUACAAAGGGAAAGGAAGAUACUGCAGGUCAACAACUGGUUACGCAGAUGGUGUCGACGGGAGAGGUUUGGAUUCUGGGACCAUGGUCUAAGCUUCUUGGAGGUGGGACUGUUGGCAAGAGAUGGGCUGCACCUCACGAGGACUGGGAAGAAUCUCUUUGGCAGAAGUAUGGCAAAACUCAUCAAGAGGGCUUUAAACUAAAGUCUCUGGGGGAUGGAGAUGAUAGCUUAAACACCGAUCCAAAGACAGCGGGUUGUAAACGCAAGGAUUUGAAGGGUACAGGAGACACUGGGAGAGAGAAAGGGAUGCACGGCAAAGCUCACGGUAUAUUAAUGGAGGAAUCCAAUUAGGACAAAAGAGACUUCUGGUGUCUAUAUACCAACGCACGGAGCUUGAGUAACAAGCAAGAGGAGCUUGAAGUCUUAGUGCAUCAAGGCAAAUAUGACUUCAUAGGGAUAACAGAGACUUGGUGGGAUGACUCCCAUGAUUGGAAUAUAGCCAUUCAAGGAUAUAAACUCUACAGAAAGAAUAGAAGCAACAGAAAAGGAAGGGGAGUAGCGUUAUACGUCAAAGACAAAUACACCUCUAUGGAAAUCCAAGAGAGCGAACAAAGUGGUCCGAUAGAGACCAUUUGGGUAAAAAUAAAUGGAGAAACAAAUAAAACCAACAUGGUAGUAGGUGUCUACUACAGACCCCCUGGCCAAGAAGAGGUGGUAGACAAGGCCUUUCUCAAACAAAUCUCUGAAAUCUCAAGGAGGCAAGAAGUAGUAGUGAUGGGGGACUUCAACUACCCGGAUAUCUGCUGGGAGACAAACUCUGCGAAGCACAAAACCUCCAACAAAUUCCUGAUGGGCCUUGCUGAUAAUUUCCUCUUUCAAAAAGUAGAAGAAGGAACAAGGGGAUCGGCAAUCCUGGACCUGAUCUUAACUAACAGGGACGAAUUGGUCAUGGGAAUUAAAGCGGUCGGUACCUUGGGGGAAAGUGACCACGUAAUGCUGGAAUUCGUGAUUCUGGGGAAAGCCAAAGAAGAAUAUAGUCAAAUAUGGACCUUGGAUUUCAGGAAAGCCGAUUUUAGCAAGCUCAGGGAAAUGAUGGGUAGGAUCCCGUGGCUAGAUAGACUAAAGAAAAAAGGAGCCCAAGAAGCGUGGGAGUUCGUGAAGAACGUAUUAUAAAAAGCGCAAUCGCAAACAAUUCCGAAGAGGAAGAAAAACGGAAGACAUCGGAAAAAGCCAAUGUGACUACAUGGAAGACUGGUGGAGGAGGUAAAAAUAAAAAAGAGCAUGUAUAAAGAAUGGAAGGAAGGACGCAUCACCAAGGAAGAGUACCAACGAGCGGCUCGGGCUUGCAGGAAUAGCGUAAAGAAAGCUAAAACCCAGAAUGAGCUGAGGCUGGCGAGGGAAGCGAGGAACAACAAAAAGGGGUUUGUCAAGGAAAAAUCCUGUCAAACUAAUCUCAUCUCUUUUUUGAUCGGGUCACUAGCUUAGUAGAUGGUGGAAAUGCUGUAGAUGUCAUCUAUCUAGAUUUCAGCAAAGCAUUUAACAAAGUCCCCCACGACCCCUUGAUUAGCAAACUGGUCAAAUGCGGACUAGAUGGAAAUACUGUCAGGUGGAUUCACAACUGGUUGGAAAACCGUACUCAAAGAGUGGUCAUCGGUGGCUCUGCUUCGGACUGGAAGGAGGUUUCGAGUGGAGUGCCACAGGGUUCUGUCCUGGCGCCGAUACUCCUCAACAUUUUUAUCAAUGACUUAGAUGAUGGGGUGGAGGGAAGCCUUAUGAAGUUUGCGGAUGAUACGAAACUGGGAGGGAUAGCUAACACAAUGGAAGACAGGAAUAAAAUCCAAAGGGACCUGGAUAGACUAGAAAAUUGGGCUGAAAUUAAUAAAAUGACAUUCAAUAAAGACAAAUGCAAGAUUCUGCAUUUAGGCCACAAAAACAAAAUGCACGGGUACAGGAUGGGAAAUACCCGGCUUAGCAGUAGUGCGUGUGAGAAGGACCUUGGAAUUGUAGUGGAUCGCAAGUUGAACAUGACCCAGCAGUGUGAUGCUGCGGCAAAAAAGGCAAAUGCGGUUUUGGGCUGCAUAAACAGAGCUAUAGUUUCCAGGUCGAGGGAAGUAAUAGUCCCACUAUAUUCUGCAUUAGUCAGGCCUCAUCUGGAAUACUGCGUUCAGUUCUGGGCACCUCAUUUUAAGAAAGAUAUAGACAAGUUAUAGCGGGUUCAGAAGAGGGCAAUGAGGAUGAUAGCUGGUAUGGAGAACAAGUCUUAUGAGGAAAGGUUGAAGGAACUUGGCAUGUUCAGUCUGGUGAAGAGAAGGCUGAGGGGUGACAUGAUUGCACUCUUUAAGUACCUGAAGGGCUGUCACAUAGAGAAGGGUACAGAUUUAUUCUCUGCUGCCCCAGAGGGUAGGACAAGGUCUAAUGGUUUUAAGUUGCAGGAGCGUAGAUUCAGAUUGGACAUUAGAAGGAACUUCUUGACGGUAAGGGCAGUUCAGCAAUGGAACCGACUGCCUAGGGAGGUGGUGGGAUCCCCUUCGCUGGAUGUCUUCAAGCAGAGGCUGGACAGCUAUCUGCGGGAGAUGCUCUAGCUGUGGAUUUCCUGCUGUGAGCAGGGGGUUGGACUCGAUGGCCUACAAGGUCCCUUCCAACUCUAUGAUUCUAUGAUUCUAUUCUAUGACAGACUUCCCUCACGUCUAGCAGAAGCAUCCCAUUAUUCAAAGAAAGUUUAGAAAAAAAGUAGCCUGUAUCAUGCCCUUCUGCCCCUCAAGGCGCGAGAAGUAUGCUUCAGACCCAAUUCCCAUCCUUAGGGUAAUUGUUCUGGAAUCCCAAAUACUAAAUUCUUCCUUACCAAGGCUAUGUAAACCAACACCAACCUUGUAAGGUAGAAAGUAGGCUGCCACCACCCCUGUCACUGGUUCAACUCAGAGCUAGGGGAACUCUGAGCCCAGAAAAUAGGUAAACCAAGGUCCUGUAAGACAAGAGCCAAAUGUACAGUCCUUGUCAAGAAACCUCUGGUAAAACCCCACAAAUUAGAAUUAAGCUUUAACUCUUUUUCCCUUUUGGUAGAUGUGUAGCGGAAUGGUCAAGGUGCUGAAUUCAGAACCACCCUUACCCUCAAUGAACACACCAAGUUAAAUAGAAGUAGCUUUAUUCAAAAAAAAUAUAAGUGCACAUUAAAAUAUAGCAGCAAACAGUUCCUCAAAACCAUACACUCAAACAGGGGUUUAGGUACAUAUAAGAGAGUUCAUUCACACAACAAGAAAAUAACAACCUAGCUAACCUAGCUACUUACAUAGGAGGUAGUUGGUUGAAGUCUCGUCUCUCCUCAGAGAGAAUAGCAUCAGUUACAAGCAAUGGAACCCUGCUUAGGUAGCCUCCCAUAGGCACCACUCAGAAGGAACCUUUCAGAACCUUCCUGAGGGAACAAAGGCUAUGGGUCCUUAGCCCUAUACUUAAGAGGAAAGAAACUCAAAGGUCCAAGAUUAAUUAACCAAUCAGGAGUCUUCUGAUGUAAUCCCUUUCUAAAUGUUUCUCCACUUUUUUGCAUCUUCCAGGCCCCCCUCCCAACAGGGUUUCAAUCUUCUGUGACACGGAUGGCCUUGAGUGCCAGGCUCUUACUGAUUAGCAUAGAUAACCAGGUGCCUCUGUUUAGGCCUUCCUUAACUGUCCAGCUGGGAAUCGAAACUUAACAUUUUCCCCUUUCCGAGGCCUGUUUCUCUAACAAGAUGACACUCCCAGAGUCCUUUGCACUGAGCCAUGAUGUUACAUAUAAUUUUAACAUUUCAGAAAAAUAUCCAGGUUCAUGACAGCCUGAGUUACUCAGUGUCAGCUAGAAACACACACACACACACACACACACAAAAUCACCUCAUACCCAGACCCCUCCUUUGCAAGGAGAGAGAAAAAGAGUCUUUUAAAAAGAGGCUUGAGUGGGAAAAGGUGGGUAAUGGCGAUCUGAGCUCUUAACAUGUGUAACAACGCUCUCCAAGCAGGGAGAUAACCAGGAAGGAAUUCUGUAUUUCAGCACAAGCCUUGGGGCAAACGGAUUCCUUCCUGAUUUGGGGUCAGAGCUCUUCCACACCCCUUCAGCUGCACUCCACUGCCCACCCCUGGGCCUAGGAUAGGUAAUCUCUCCUACCUGUCACUCUUUAUAGUAAUAGGGCCCUUUGAUCUCUUUAAUUUCCUCUUUCAACAAGCCUUUUAAGUUGAGACCUAUCCCAGUCUGUGUCUGUGUUAGAAUUGCUUUUA